GUCAAAGAGCGACGGCUAACUCCGUGCCAGCAGCCGCGUAAUACGGAGGCGUGCAAGCGUUGUAAUUGGGAUUUAUUGGGCGUAAAGCGACAGCCCAGUGCGGUUUUGUCAAGUCUAGAAAUGUGAAAUCCCCCGGGCUCCAACCGGGGAAAAGUGCAUUCGGAAACUGGGAAGGAGCUGGAUAGUCAAGAUAGGAGGAGGGGUAGAAUUUCCCAUGGUGUAGGCGGUGAAAUUGCGUAGAUGAUACGGGGAAGUAACUACCCGGUGGGCGGAAGGGCGGACCCUCCUUGGUCCGUAGACUGGACGCUUCAGGCUGCGAAUCGCGUGGGGAAGCGAAUCCAGGAUUAGAUACCCUUGGACUUAGUUCCACGCCGGUAAAGGAUGUUGAUUGGGAGGUUUGAGUGCCCUUGAGGCGUGGCGGAAUUCCGGAGCUAACGCGUUAAGUGCUCCGCCUGGGGAGUACGGCCGCAAGGUUAAAACUCAAAUGAAUUGACGGGGGCCCGCACAAGCGGUGGAGCAUGUGGUUUAAUUCGAUGCAACGCGAAGAACCUUACCUACUCUUGACAUCCAGAGAACUUAGCAGAGAUGCUUUGGUGCCUUCGGGAACUCUGAGACAGGUGCUGCAUGGCUGUCGUCAGCUCGUGUUGUGAAGAUGUUGGGUUAAUUGUCCCGCAACGAGCGCAACCCUUAUCCUUUGUUGCCAGCGGCUUUAGGCCGGGAACUCAAAGGAGACUGCCAGUGAUAAACUGGAGGAAGGUGGGGAUGACGUUCAAGUCAUCAUGGCCCUUACGCGUAGGGCUCCCCACUUGUUCCAAUGGAGCAUACAAAGAGAAGUGACCUCGGGAGUCCAAGCGGACUUCAUAAAUGCGUCGUAGUCCGGAUUGGAGUCUGCAACUCGACUCCAUGAAGUCGGAAUCGCUAGUAAUCGUGGAUCAGAAUGCCACGUGGAAUACGUUCCCGGCCCUUGUACACACCGCCCGUCACACCAUGGGAGUGGGUCCAAAAGAAGUAGGUAGUUACCCUUCGGAGGCCCAAGA
rnacentral:rRNA from 1 species